CCUACGGGAGGCAGCAGUGGGGAAUUUUGACAAUGGGCGAAAGCNUGAUCCAGCCAUGCCGCGUGAGUGAAGAAGGCNUUCGGGUUGUAAAGCUCUUUCGCAAGGAAAGAAAACUUACAUAUUAAUACUAUGUGAGGAUGACGGUACCUUGAUAAGAAGCACCGGCUAACUACGUGCCAGCAGCCGCGGUAAUACGUAGGGUGCAAGCGUUAAUCGGAAUUACUGGGCGUAAAGCGAGCGCAGGCGGUUUUGUAAGUCAGAUGUGAAAGCCCCGGGCUCAACCUGGGAACUGCGUUUGAAACUACAAGGCUAGAGUAUGGGAGAGGGAGGUAGAAUUCCACGUGUAGCAGUGAAAUGCGUAGAGAUGUGGAGGAAUACCAAUGGCGAAGGCAGCCUCCUGGCCUAAUACUGACGCUCAUGCUCGAAAGCGUGGGGAGCAAACAGGAUUAGAUACCCUGGUAGUCCACGCCCUAAACGAUGUCUACUAGUUGUUGGUGGAGUAAAAUCCAUUAGUAACGCAGCUAACGCGUGAAGUAGACCGCCUGGGGAGUACGGUCGCAAGAUUAAAACUCAAAUGAAUUGACGGGG
rnacentral:rRNA from 1 species